rnacentral:rRNA from 1 species
GACGAACGCUGGCGGCGUGCUUAACACAUGCAAGUCGAGCGGUAAGGCCCUUUCGGGGGUACGACGAGCGGCGAACGGGUAGAGUAACACGUGGGUGACCUGCCCUCAGCUCUGGGAUAAGCCCGGGAAACUGGGUCUAAUACCGGAUAUGACUCCAUGACGCAUGUUGUGGGGUGGGAAAGCCUUGUGCGGCUGAGGAUGGGCCCGCGGCCUAUCAGCUUGUUGGUGGGGUGAUGGCCACCAAGGCGACGACGGGUAGCCGGCCUGAGAGGGCGACCGGCCACACUGGGACUGAGAUACGGCCCAGACUCCUACGGGAGGCAGCAGUGGGGAAUCUUGCGCAAUGGGCGAAAGCCUGACGCAGCGACGCCGCGUGAGGGAUGAC